rnacentral:rRNA from 1 species
AUUGAACGCUGGCGGCAGGCCUAACACAUGCAAGUCGAGCGGUAACAUGGGAGCUUGCUCCUGAUGACAAGCGGCGGACGGGUGAGUAAAGCCUAGGAAUCUGCCUAUUAGUGGGGGACAACGCGGGGAAACUCGCGCUAAUACCGCAUACGCCCUACGGGGAAAGGUGCUUAACUGUAUCGCUAAUAGAUGAGCCUAGGUCGGAUUAGCUAGUUGGUAGGGUAAAGGCCUACCAAGGCGACGAUCCGUAGCUGGUCUGAGAGGAUGAUCAGCCACACUGGGACUGAGACACGGCCCAGACUCCUACGGGAGGCAGCAGUGGGGGAAUAUUGGACAAUGGGGGAAACCCUGAUCCAGCCAUGCCGCGUGUGUGAAGAAGGUCUUCGGAUUGUAAAGCACUUUAAGUUGGGAAAAAGGGUAGUGUAACGAACUAUUCUUGAUAUUACCGACAGAAUAAGCACCGGCUAACUUCGUGCCAGCAGCCGCCGCA